CGAAAAAAUCGGAGAGGAAAAGAGGGGAAAAGAGUCGAUGGAUCGAUUCUAAAGAGAGGGGGUCUUCUUAUAGGAAAUCCUAGGACUCCGAGGGGUCUUAGGAGUCCGAUUUUUGUCUGGGUUUUAUCGGAGAAGAAGAUUUCCAUCGGGAGUCUUCUUCCCGAUUUUUGAUUUUUUUUUUUUUUUUUUUUUUUUUUUGGGGC
rnacentral:lncRNA from 1 species